CACUACGCUUUAUUUCCAUUAUUUUUCGUACGCGUUCCAUACUUAUUUUUUUCCAGACUGUCUUUCGCCAGACUGCACCGGACGUUGAACAGAUAUUUUUGACAAGUGAUUGGACACGGAUUUUCUCCGUCGGAUCGCUCGAGGUUGUUUCGUUUAAUUCGAGGUGUGCAAGGCGUGGUUGGAGCCAGGUUCCUGGUUUGAGGUUUCACGACGUGAGCCCAUGGGACUCCCCACAGCCGCCGCCCACGUGCAAUCCAUCGGUGUCGCCAGCGCGGCCAGCUUGUGAUAGAGUUGUGACAUUUCAGACGCUUUUCGCCGGGAUGAAAACCUCUUUAAGGAGGUGUCCUUGGUGACUGGAGCCGUCAGCGAGUCACGAGCCAUCCAGAGCUUCGAUUCGUCUGUCCUGGCACCCGUCCAGGUUGGCCGUUAUAUGUUUUUUAUUGGGUGGAUCUAUAGGAAUUUCCUUAAGAUUCUCAUUUAUCUUCGUCACCAUCAGCCUUCUGACGCCCGUUGCUGGAUGUAGGAUUGUAGGAGUGAGCCCCGGGUGGACUCUAGCGGGUUAAAACUUUUUUUUUUUUUUUUUACUUCUUAGGGAGCCCCUUUAGAACGGGCGGUAGUAUCUAAAUUGCACUUUGAAUAUUUUGUAGGCGCUAGGUUAUCAACGUCCUUUCGUUACAAGACCUUAACGUUCAACCGCUAUCCCAUUGAAGUAAUAUACAGGGUUAUUGGUAAGUAGACCGGAUCCUUUCAGGAGGUGAUAGAGGAAG